rnacentral:rRNA from 1 species
UGGGUAGGGGAGCGUUCUGUAAGCCUGUGAAGGUGGCCUGUGAGGGUUGCUGGAGGUAUCAGAAGUGCGAAUGCUGACAUAAGUAACGAUAAAGCGGGUGAAAAGCCCGCUCGCCGGAAGACCAAGGGUUCCUGUCCAACGUUAAUCGGGGCAGGGUGAGUCGACCCCUAAGGCGAGGCCGAAAGGCGUAGUCGAUGGGAAACGGGUUAAUAUUCCCGUACUUGGUGUUACUGCGAAGGGGGGACGGAGAAGGCUAUGUUGGCCGGGCGACGGUUGUCCCGGUUUAAGCGUGUAGGUGUGUGUUCCAGGUAAAUCCGGUUCACUUUAACACUGAGGCGUGACGACGAGGCACUACGGUGCUGAAGCAACAAAUGCCCUGCUUCCAGGAAAAGCCUCUAAGCAUCAGGUAACAUCAAAUCGUACCCCAAACCGACACAGGUGGUCAGGUAGAGAAUACCAAGGCGCUUGAGAGAACUCGGGUGAAGGAACUAGGCAAAAUGGUGCCGUAACUUCGGGAGAAGGCACGCUGAUAUGUAGGUGAAGCGGUUUACCCGUGGAGCUGAAAUCAGUCGAAGAUACCAGCUGGCUGCAACUGUUUAUUAAAAACACAGCACUGUGCAAACACGAAAGUGGACGUAUACGGUGUGACGCCUGCCCGGUGCCGGAAGGUUAAUUGAUGGGGUCAGCGCAAGCGAAGCUCCUGAUCGAAGCCCCGGUAAACGGCGGCCGUAACUAUAACGGUCCUAAGGUAGCGAAAUUCCUUGUCGGGUAAGUUCCGACCUGCACGAAUGGCGUAAUGAUGGCCAGGCUGUCUCCACCCGAGACUCAGUGAAAUUGAACUCGCUGUGAAGAUGCAGUGUACCCGCGGCAAGACGGAAAGACCCCGUGAACCUUUACUAUAGCUUGACACUGAACAUUGAGCCUUGAUGUGUAGGAUAGGUGGGAGGCUUUGAAGCGUGGACGCCAGUCUGCGUGGAGCCGACCUUGAAAUACCACCCUUUAAUGUUUGAUGUUCUAACGUGGACCCGUAAUCCGGGUUGCGGACAGUGUCUGGUGGGUAGUUUGACUGGGGCGGUCUCCUCCUAAAGAGUAACGGAGGAGCACGAAGGUUGGCUAAUCCUGGUCGGACAUCAGGAGGUUAGUGCAAUGGCAUAAGCCAGCUUGACUGCGAGCGUGACGGCGCGAGCAGGUGCGAAAGCAGGUCAUAGUGAUCCGGUGGUUCUGAAUGGAAGGGCCAUCGCUCAACGGAUAAAAGGUACUCCGGGGAUAACAGGCUGAUACCGCCCAAGAGUUCAUAUCGACGGCGGUGUUUGGCACCUCGAUGUCGGCUCAUCACAUCCUGGGGCUGAAGUAGGUCCCAAGGGUAUGGCUGUUCGCCAUUUAAAGUGGUACGCGAGCUGGGUUUAGAACGUCGUGAGACAGUUCGGUCCCUAUCUGCCGUGGGCGCUGGAGAACUGAGGGGGGCUGCUCCUAGUACGAGAGGACCGGAGUGGACGCAUCACUGGUGUUCGGGUUGUCAUGCCAAUGGCACUGCCCGGUAGCUAAAUGCGGAAGAGAUAAGUGCUGAAAGCAUCUAAGCACGAAACUUGCCCCGAGAUGAGUUCU